GUAAAAACAGAAAAUGAGAAACACAUUUCAGCUGAAACAGGAAACGCGCGGCUCUUCAGCUCAAUUUCCUGACAGUGGGAAAGGCCCCAUUGUCGCCAAGGAUUGAUUGAUUAUUUAUUUAUUUUAAUUUAUCCUUUUUUUAAUUUUUCAAAAUAUACACUUGAAGACAUAAAUCAAGAACCCAAAUAUCAGAAAAAAACAUUUUUAAAACCUGUUGCUUCCUCCGUUAAAAUUUUUUUAAUUUUGGUGAAAAUGAAAAUAGAUUUGCAAGGACGGACUUUAAAUCACAACAAUUAUUUCAGUGAAGAUGGUUUCUUAAAUUCAAAUUUUCUCUGUCUUAUUCCAUACACAAAGGCCUUACAUUGCUUAUUUGUUUUGGUUUAGUUUAGAAUUUAUGUAGUUAUAUCUUUAUUUAUUUCUUUUUAAAUAAUCUAAACCCAAUUUCAGAAAGUCAAUUUUGAUGACCACCAACAAACUUUUUAUAGUCCAAAAAGAAAGGGCCUGUGUUACCCACUUGAAGCAAAUGAUAUAAACCUUGGUCUCUAAGGCUAUAGGAAGAUUGCAUAAAGAACAUCUAAAGAGUAUAUAUUAGAACUUGCGCAUGUGAAUGUUGUAUAGACUAAAAUUAUAGCAUAUAUAUUUGUGUAUAUAUAGCAGAAAAGUUUCAGAUUUCGCCAUACUGUACAUAAAAUAAUACACAUAUACAAGCAACAAUUUUUAUGCUUGACUCUAUUACUAUUGCUAUUACUUGAAUCUUAUUCUAGCCUAUACCAAACAGCUUUAUAAUAGCUAAUAUCUAAUGACACAGAUGAUACUGUGUAAAAAAAAAACAAUCAAUUGCCUCAUUUUCAAUUUUCAAUUUUAAAAUUCCAAAAUUUUUAAAAAUUAAAAAUAAUAAUUAUUAGUCAACUGACCGACAUGGAUCCUUAUAGUUUCCUGAAAUAAAAAAAGAAAAGAAAAGCAAAAUAGGUAAAAUAAAAAAAGAGGAAGAUACUUGUAGUCAGGUCCAAAAU